CAGUCGCCGCGGGAAUACAGAGGGUGCGAGCGUUAAUCGGAUUUACUGGGCGUAAAGCGUGCGUAGGCGGCUUCUUAAGUCGGAUGUGAAAUCCCUGAGCUUAACUUAGGAAUUGCAUUCGAUACUGGGAAGCUAGAGUAUGGGAGAGGAUGGUAGAAUUCCAGGUGUAGCGGUGAAAUGCGUAGAGAUCUGGAGGAAUACCAAUGGCGAAGGCAGCCAUCUGGCCUAAUACUGACGCUGAGGUACGAAAGCAUGGGGAGCAAACAGGAUUAGAUACCCCGGUAGUCCCUGUCUCUUAUAC
rnacentral:rRNA from 1 species